rfam:Vibrio sp. JCM 19236 DNA, contig00059.
GCUGGUAUAGCUCAGUUGGUAGAGCGCACCCUUGGUAAGGGUGAGGUCCCCAGUUCAAAUCUGGUACUAGCA